CCUACGGGAGGCAGCAGUGGGGAAUAUUGCACAAUGGGCGGAAGCCUGAUGCAGCGACGCCGCGUGAGGGAUGAAGGCCCUCGGGUUGUAAACCUCUUUCAGCAGGGACGAAGCGUGAGUGACGGUACCUGCAGAAGAAGCACCGGCUAACUACGUGCCAGCAGCCGCGGUAAUACGUAGGGUGCGAGCGUUGUCCGGAAUUACUGGGCGUAAAGAGUUCGUAGGCGGUUUGUCGCGUCGUUUGUGAAAACCCGGGGCUCAACUUCGGGCUUGCAGGCGAUACGGGCAGACUUGAGUGUUUCAGGGGAGACUGGAAUUCCUGGUGUAGCGGUGAAAUGCGCAGAUAUCAGGAGGAACACCGGUGGCGAAGGCGGGUCUCUGGGAAACAACUGACGCUGAGGAACGAAAGCGUGGGUAGCAAACAGGAUUAGAUACCCUGGUAGUCCACGCCGUAAACGGUGGCGCUAGGUGUGGGUUCCUUCCACGGGAUCUGUGCCGUAGCUAACGCAUUAAGCGCCCCGCCUGGGGAGUACGGCCGCAAGGCUAAAACUCAAAGGAUUGACGG
rnacentral:rRNA from 1 species